rnacentral:rRNA from 1 species
UACGUAGGGUCCAAGCGUUAUCCGGAAUCACUGGGCGUAAGCGUGCGUAGGCGGUUGCUUGCGUGCAAUGCGAAAUCCUGUGGCUCAACCAUACGGACUGUAUUGCAUACGGGGCAACUAGAGGAUAUGAGAGGCAAGUGGAAUUCCUGGUGUAGCGGUGGAAUGCGCAGAUAUCAGGAGGAACACCGGUGGCGAAGGCGGUGGUCUGGGCCGGCACUGACGCUGAGGAGCGAAAGCGUGGGGGAGCGAACAGG